GUAAUUUCAACUAAUUUUGACUCUUUUACUUUAUUUUAUUACAACAAAAUAAAAAUUACAAAAAAAUAGUUUCAUUAAUGUUUUGUAGUCAUUUUAAUCUUGAAAAAGACAAUUGUUUUUUAUAAUUUUAACGGCCAGUCUUAUUUCGAUAAUUACUUUUACUUAAGUGGGGCUAAUUAAUAUUUUUUGGUAAUAUUUCCAUAUGUAUAGAUUUUUAGUUAAUUAAGCUGAUUUUAAGCAAAACUAGUCAUAAAGGCUCAUAAUUCUUAGGCACAUACUCCUUAACCUAGAAAACCCUACAAAUAUCUAGACCUAAGAAAGGGGGAGCUGAAAAGAGAACAAAAAAUCAGACCUAGAUCCUAAGAGAAUCGGCGCCGCAUAAGACACAUUUCGGACCCCUACCCCCCGGUGAGCUUCUUCUGGAUAAACCUUAGAAGACCAUUUCUUCUCCAAGCCCUUCCAACGACCCUUCCUUCUCCUCACUUCAAAGCCAGCAACCCUGGCCAAACCCUCCAUCUCUAUCGUCAGUCACUAGUAGCAGCAGGUCGCCGGAAAACAAACACCAUUUUUCAACUCAUCUCUCCGAACCCCUAUCUCUGACCAAACCAGGAGCUAGCUGCAAAAGAAAGAGGAAAAGGAGUGCAAAAAACAGUAACGAAAGCAGGGGAGCGGGCAGAAACGUCUGGAGUUGUGUUGAGUCGAGGUUUUCUGAUGCCGAUUUGAGUUCCGUCCAAAGGUCGUCAGAUUGUCGUGAUAUUGUUUCCCGUUAUAGUGAUGAACCGUAUUCGAUUUUGUUCGAUUCGAAGAAGGAGUUGUAUCGCUACCUCUGUGAUCAUUUUCUCUGAUUGAUGGUGAAACUAAGGUAAUUUACUGCAUAUAUGAUGGAUCAUCUGAUAUGUAUAUGAUUUUUGGUUCAUGAUAAUGUUAUCUACUAUGUUUUCUCCAUUUCGAUUUUGUUGGAAAUGAUAUUUCUAAUCUCAGAGUUUGGUUCCUUGUUUGAAAAGUCGAGAAUGUGAAUUUGUUUGUAUGGUGAAAUUGUUCGUUUACUCGUUUCCUUUGUUUGACUGUGAAUUUGUUUGUGAAAGAGAUACAUGCAUUUUUUAAUUAAAAGAGUCAAAAGCACCUUCCUUUGUAUUUUUUUUUUUUGAAAUAUUUAGACUAUUGUGUAAGUGACAAUCAUUACUCUAACAAUGCAAAUUAUUUCCUUGUCGGAUUUGUAGUAUAUAUCAAUGCACAUGAAUUGUUAUCACGCGAAAUUGUUAAAGUAAAUGACCAUGGAUCACAAACUCAUUUGUUUGAUUCCCUGAUUUUUCAUAUUGGUUGCUGAGUUGAGAGGGUGGCGGGUAGGCGAACCUGUAGGCACGUAAUUAAAUCACCAUAACUACGGGUACGGUUCCCAUGACGUAGUUGUGAUACUUAAUUUUGAAUUAGUUUUAAAUAUGAAAAUUCGUAGUUAAAUGCUUUUCCUUUAUUAAAUCGAUGUGUGCCAUUAGUUGAAUUUUUCAUGGCCCUCGCAAACCUUGUUAUUAACUUGAAAGUGCAUAGUAGCUUUAGGCACGUAAUUUAAAUUAAUUUCCUUAACUCGAAUGUGCAUUUAUGUGACUCAAAUCCAAAUCUCAACAACGUUUGAUAAAAGGUGUCAUGGACCGCGGGUGCAUUUAUAUGACGUGGUUCAAGACAUAUUCUAGAUGACGUUGAAUCUUUCCUAAAAAUAAUUAAUUAAAAGCGGUUUCAAAAUUAAAAUGCAGAUAAGUUUAAAAAUAUUUUAAAGUCAGAUAAUUAGGCCAAUAAUAACAGUUGAGCGACUGUGCUAGAACCAUGGAACUCGGGAAUGCCUAACACCUUCUCUCACGUUAACAGAAUUCUUUACCCGGAUUUCUAUGUCUGCGGACUGUAAAACAGAGUCGAUCUUUUUCUCGAUUCGGGAUUUGAAACGGUGACAUAGGACACCAUAAAUUAUCCCAAGUGGCGACUCUGAAUCUUUAAAUAAAUAAAUCUCAUUUUGAUUGUCACUUUAAUUGGAAAAAACUACCUUAUACUCUUUCCGAGGGUGUAGGAAAAAGUAGGUGUGACAAUAGACACAAAUCCUUAUAGGCUACGCUCACCUGGCCUCCCAAUCCCUGCAUGCUUCUGAAUGACUGUUCCAGGUUUCUAACCUUCCUGAACAUCUCCUCUUGUUCUGGGUUUUUAGGUGGUUUCUCAGUCUCAACAGGGAGGUCAAAACGAGGAGUAUAUGAGUAAGGUUCCGUGGCCUUGAAAGUAGGCUCCGAGGCAUAGUAUUGGUUAUCAUGGGUCUGGAAUAAAAGCUCACUGGAGGAUCGAUGGAGUGUAGUGGGUGGGGUUACCAUGAAAACAUGGGUGGCUGGUGGAUGAGGGUAUGAGACUGGUUUAGGUGGCGGUGCUUGUGGGGUUUGGGAAGUGGUGCCUUGGUAGUGGUGGUAAAUGGAAAAGCCCGGAGAUAAAUCAACAGUGGGAGGUUCUUGGGAUUGAGCCAGCGGCGGGACGAAAGUAGGGUUGGUGGGGUAGGAUGGUGGUGGAUGCCCUUUUACCCAUGCUUGGUACAUCUCUGUCAUCUGGUGUUUUAGCUUAUACAACUCCUCUUUCAGAUUAACAUCAGACUCUUCCCCCUCUCUUGACGGGUCAAUAACACUUGCAUCUAAUUCUUUGUUAGCCAUGAUCAACUUGACUUUGGACCUGGUGUUGUACGGGUGAGUUGUCAGAAUGCCAAACAAACUAACCACCUGCCUGAACUUGAUGACAACAACAAACUUAUUAGCGAUUAGGGCUUAACAGAUAGAAAACCGCACGUUGGGAUGCAAUGCACCUAAGAAGUUAACCAUUUCUAUUAUGCAUUUGAUCGGUUGCUUGCGUCAUCCCGACUUUCCCUAAUUUUCAUUUUGCAACUUCUCUCUUUUUCAUUCCUGCUUUUCUUUGCCUGAUUCUUGUUUUUCUUUUAUUCCCUCAUUUUCCUCUCUUGUUUUGUUAUUAUUUCCCUCCCGCAAUUCUCUUGUUUUCUCUCUCUUUUUUUUUCUUUUCAUUUCACGGUUAUGAUCGAAUUCUAUGGGGAUUGCCUACGUAUCAUGACGCUGCAUGAAUCAGACCAAGCGUAGUUCUGGGGGAUAAGCGUAAAAAAACAUUUUGGGGUUUUCAAAAAUUUUCAUAAAAUGAAAAAGUCUUAAUUACAACGACUCAUCCUACAGAAUUUAAUCAUAAAAACUAACAGACUCGAAAAAGGGGGGACUAACAGACUCCAACAGAAAGAUGAAAAUACAGACUCGAAAACAGACUAACAGACUCCAACAAAGAAAAAUGAAAAUACAAACUCGAAUGAAAAUCGUGAAUACUUCAAUGUCUCAACUGCUCUAGGGGCCCGCGGGACAUUAGUCGGUCUCGCCACGGGCCUAUGUGUAAGAUCCCCUUGAAGAUGCUCCAGGUCACUCAUUAUUUGACUAACAAAGGUCAUUACCGCAACAAAGGUGGUUCUAGUCAUGUCUUCACAUUCAUGGCACUUCAUGACGAUGUAGUCAGCAAUUGCCCUAACCCUCUCCCUAAUGAUACCCUUUUCUUGGAGCAAACGCCCUAUUGUUGAGACCUAGCUUCUAGCAUCUGGGCAUCAUGAUGGUUUUGACCCUGCAACUGUUGCAUAUCUUCCUCUAACUGGGCCAUUAAUGCAUAGCAAUGUUCCCUUUCUACUUUAAAGUUCUUAGCUUGUUUGGCCAUCUCAUUUUCGAGGGUAGUCAGUUGUUUCUUCAACUUGGUUGCUUCUCCCUCAUACUUCUUUUUUAGUUGUCGGACAAACUCUGAUCAUCCCUCUGCGUUCUUCGUUAACUGUGCCCGAGCCCUUGCCAAAUUACCCUCGGAUUUUUCCAGAUCAUCCUCACACUUAGCUAUUUUCCUUUUGAGACCACUUAUGCGUCUUUCAUCCUUUGGUCUCCUUUCCUGAUUCUCAGCAACUAUUUUUAUUUUUUGGAUCUGUGCUCGAAGGGACUUGUUUUCUUGAGGCAAUUUCUUCUUCUCCCCUUCAUCGGCAGUGGCCUGUACACUUUUGUCAAAUUUAAGAUCCCGAAUCUGUCCCUCCAGUUUGCUUAUGGUGGCUCUGUAGCUUGCCUCUUUUGCCAAACAAUUCCAUUGCUCCUACGCUUCAUCAGUGAAUUGUUGGACAUGUGACUUUUUUGCGGGCCGUUCGGGCUCUAGAUGGACUCGGGACCUUUUACCGUACCGAGUUGUGUAACUAGGCUCCAACUCGCCUCUGGACAGAUCUCAUACCUGAGUCUUUGGCUCUAAGAACCUACAUUUAUGCCAAAUCCGACGCACCCUUUAUUCCGGGAAAGAAGCUUUUGGUUCUAGUUCGAUGACCUGCCGACUCAAAUCCUCAUCAUAUGGUAUAGUCUGGUACCUGCCUAACUGACGUAGAACUCUGUGCAGGGCAUAAGGCUGAAUGCUCCGGAGACCCAUCAAUAGAAGAAAACAUACCUCGGCCGACAUAUAAAUGACUUCGCUGACCGAGAGCCACCCGAAUGUCCAUUCAAUCUUGUUUGCAGUCAGGGAGCUCAAGUGUGCAAACCAAGCUUCCGUACCCUCCGAAAACUCAUAGCCCUCUACCCUUUGUUCAUGCUUUUCAAUGCAUUAAAGACCGGUCAUACCAAGGUUCAUGUACCCCGGGCGGUGACACAGGUGUUCCUCCAUUCAAAGUUGUAGAAGCAUAUUGCAUGCCUCAAAAAACUCUCCUCCUUAUUGGCAAACAGUCAGGGCUCGAUAGAUUUCCGCCAAGAUCAUUGGUGCAAUAGUGCCAUUUGCCUUUUUAGUCAUGAAGUCAGCUAUUCCCACAAGCCCUAAUUCUGUGUUUCUAUCCUCUCUUGGACAAAUCAAAACACCCAAGAAUACCACUAUAAAAGCCAAUCCCGGUCGAGCUUGCCACUUAUCUUUGUUUUCCGAAUGAGUGAGACCGGUAUCUAGCAUCUCGAAACCACGGGAAUUCCCGUAACGUCGGUACAAGAAAUAGAAUGUGCAAAAUCCUUUAGCCAAAUUUCCGUCUUGAACUUCCUGACUAAUGCUUAGAAGAUCCAGAAACUUAUGAGGAGACACUAUUCUAGGCGCCACCGGGUAUUGAUUUUUGAGAUUCCCAAUAAAACCAGUGUAGCCCGCUAUUUUCUUAAGCGUAGGAGUUAGCUCAAAAUCGGCAAAAUGGAACACAUUAUGUGUUGGGUCCCAAAAGGGUAAUGGAGCCUCAAUUAUAUCCUUAUUCGGCUUAAUAUUCAGAAGACCAAUAAGAUCGCCCAAAGCUUUUAUCACAGGUUUUCUACUGACUUCCCCCUAAUCAUUCCACCACAUAUGUAGUUCUAACGGAAUUUCCUCGAAGACUGUGAAAGGUUCAUUUUCAGUCGUGCUCAUCCUGCAUAUUUAUCUUAAAGUGAUUGGUUAAAAGACUGUGAUUCAUUUCGACUCAAGAUAAAAAUACCCAUUUUCACAAAAUUUAGACCAAAAACAUUCUUGCGAAUACAGCUCUUCAGCACCACAAGAAAGAAAAAUUUUUAGGGCUGUGUUUGUUAACCAACCAAAAUUUUGGAAAAGGAUCCUAGGUGGAUAUACUUGCAAAACAGCCUUCCGACGCCUUUUUGGGGCACUUUGGCUAUUUUGGACAAGAACAGUGUCACCUAAUUUAUUUAGGACAAAAUAGCGACACUUCAUAUUUUUGGGGUUAUUUUUGCAAAAAGGAAUUGGACCCGAUAAGGGUUGCCUACAUAUCCCUUAUGAGAAUCAAACUUGCGUAGUUCGGUGAAUUUUGACGCAACAAACAACACAAAUUUUUUGGGAUAGCUUUUUUUUUUGAAAAUUUCGUCAGUGUUUCGGGGUAUUUUGGAUACCAGGUUUUUCCACGGGUGAGUAAUUUCCUCUAUCUCACCUCAAUUUGUUUUUUCUCAAUUUCUCCCUUAUCCUAGAAGCCGGUCAACAUGCAAUCCGAAUCAAAUAAAUGCACAAGUAUCAAACAAAAUGCAUCAGGAUGAUCUUUUGAUUUCAGGUGCACAUGUCCUAGAUGGACCCAACCCCUGUGUUAAAUCUCCAAAGUCAAAUGCACGUGAUGCAAACAAGUAUUCCUACUAAGGAUCCAACAUGAGGCUAUGUUAUACUUGGUUUGUAAACCUGGGUUUAUUUGUUCUAGACCUGGCUUACCCGAGCGGACAGCUCGAACCGGGGGUGGGGGGUGGGGUGGGCAGCGUACUGGGAAUACAGAAGCUUCACCGGCUUUGCAACUUGUCCGAACCUCAUUCUAAUAUUGGGAUAUGACUCUAACAGAAAAGAAGUCACAUGAAGUGCACACUUCCCAGAUGAUUAGAAGACUCAUAGAGAGGAGGGUUACACAACAAUUUAUAUAUAGUUCAAUAAUAUCAAAGCGGUAAAAAACAGCAUUUAGCACAUUAAGCCCAAACAUGUAAAUAAAACCAGAUUUCCAAUUAUAACAAUUAUUUUAAGCUCGAAUUCUCGAACCCUGAACUAGAGAUUCUGGGUUCUUCUCCCCGGCAGAGUCGUCAGAGCUGUCACACCUCCUUUUUCUACCCCCGAAAGGGUAUAAGGGAGUUUUUUCCAAUUUAAGUGACAAUCGAAGCGGGAUUAUUUAACUAAAAAUCAGAGUCGCCACUUGGGAUAAUUUAUGGUGUCCCAAGUCACCAGUUUAAAUCCCGAAUUGAGGAAAGAUUGACUCUGUUUUACAGUCCGCGAACGCAGAAAUCUGGGUAAGGAAUUCUGUUAACCCGGGAGAAGGUGUUAGGCAUUCUUGAGUUCUGUGAUUUUAGAACGGUCGCUCAACUAUUAUUAUUGGCCUAAUUAUCUGAUUUUUACACGUUUUAAACCUAUUGUGCAUUUUUAACUUUAUCAUCGCUUUUAAUAAUUCGGAAAAAUUCAAGGUUAUUUAAAACACAUCGUAAGACACGCUACAUGAAAUGCACAUGUGGUUCACGAUACGUUCUAUUUAACCUUGUUGGAAAUUGAAGCCAGAUCACAUGAAAUGCACACUCGAGCUUAGUAAUUAAAGAAAAGUCAAUUUAAAGAACGCGCCUAAAUCAAACUACGAAGGUUCAAAAUUAUAAAGUUUGUAAGGGCCAUGAAAAAUUCAUUUGAUGGCACACCUCGAUUUUUAAGGGGUUAGUAUUAAUGAUAAGAGGGCCAUGGGUGAUUUAAUUACUUAUGGCACACCUCAAGUCACUUAAUUAAGCCUAUAGGUUACCUUUAUUUGCGAAUAAUUUGACAAUUAGUAACAAAAUGGAUAUACCACACGUUUAAUUAAAUACCAGUUUCGGUUUACGCUAGACUUCGACAGAUUAUCCAAAGGGAGAAACUGGGCCUAAUUCCAACCCAGAAAAUGAACUAAAGAAAUGUUUGCUUUUAAAUGGAUUGUAGAUCCAAGCCCAAUUAAGCCAGUAGACUGCAACAUGCAAUGCCCGAUAAUGAUAGCACUGGUGAGGAAAUCUGGGCCCAAGAAUAAACCCUGAAGUAGAAGGCAAGCAUCAUAGUCCAUGUCAAAUCUGACUUGGCUAACACAUUUGAACACAAUCUUAUGUUUCGAAUUAUUUCCAAAGAAAACAAGAUGUAAAGAGUAAACUGAAUCUAAGAAUUCUUGGGCCUAAAAUCAGGCCCAAAAUCAAUUUGAAAGCUUUAUGAAUUCAAGUUGCUUAGACACGAGCAAGGCAAAGCUAAGUGUCGAAAUUGAAACAGUUGAGCUAUUUUACGGACCAUAAGAAAGCAAACUAACGUAAAGACAAGCUAAUUGAUUGGGGGAAAUGAAGCUUCAACUAGAUUUGCUUUAAAAAAAAGAAUCAACUAGUCUGAUGAAUACUCAGCUAUAGCUGCAGGAAUCAUUUUCAACAAAAAAAAAAA
rnacentral:lncRNA from 1 species